rnacentral:rRNA from 1 species
UUGGAGGGCAAGUCUGGUGCCAGCAGCCGCGGUAAUUCCAGCUCCAAUAGCGUAUAUUAAAGUUGUUGUGGUUAAAAGCUCGUAGUUGAACCUUGGGCCUGGCUGGCCGGUCCGCCUCACCGCGUGUACUGGUCCGGCCGGGCCUUUCCCUCUGUGGAACUCCAUGCCCUUCACUGGGUGUGCGGGGAAACAGGACUUUUACUGUGAAAAAAUUAGAGUGCUCCAGGCAGGCCUAUGCUCGAAUACAUUAGCAUGGAAUAAUAGAAUAGGACG